rnacentral:lncRNA from 1 species
CUAGGACAACUCAAUUUUAGUAGUGCUUGAAAGUGAUAAAUAAGGUUUACUAGGCACUUUAUAAAGAUUAAAUUAUUUAGAUUUAUAUAGAUCAGAGAAGUCAUGGGCAUUUUGUGCUUCAUUCCAUAAAUCCAAAGCAUAGUCUUAAUCUGUAAAUUUUAAUGGUUUUACAUCAGAUUGUGCCAUCUGAAUAUAUCGUAUUGUCACGUUUGUCAGAUGCAACUUCCCCAGUAACAUGACUCACAUCACAGUAAGUUCAGCUGUUUUCAUCAUAGGGAGACUCAGCAGAAGACAGCUUCCCCUACUGCUGUCCUAGAUGAGAUGGAGGGGUGCAUAAAGGAGACCCAGACUCACAGGAAGAGGAUUUUUCUCAGCAGACUGAUGAUAGCAGGAAGAUGAAAUAAAAAGAUGAAGGUAUCAUUUCUGCUCCAGUCUUUCUCUACUUGGCUGAGAAAACCAAGACAUUACAAGGAUAAAGAAAUGUACAGCUGUGAUGAGACGUUCGACUAUGUGCUUUAUCCUUCCAGAAAUUAAUGGAAGACACAUUCCUGGCACAAUAGUACCAAAUUCUGUGCAUGUUUCUUUUGCUCCCUUCGAGGCGCUAAGAAGACUCACUUUCAUUUCAAGAUUUUCCUCCAGCAAAGUAAUUUAUAGCCCUGAAAUUCUCUCUCAAAAUUUCACCAGAGACCCUUUCCAAACACUUCUUGUUCUAGUGCAGAGACACAUCCAUCCUUCAAGGUACAUUAAGGAGGAGUCAAUGACUAUUGUUGUCGCUCACCUGUGCUCUGUUAUGGCACAAACAUGA